rnacentral:rRNA from 1 species
CCUACGGGCGGCAGCAGUGGGGAAUCUUCCGCAAUGGGCGAAAGCCUGACGGAGCAACGCCGCGUGAUCGAAUGAAGGCCUUCGGGUUGUAAAGAUCUGUUGAGAGGGACGAAUAAGCAAUGCGAAUAGUUUUGUGUAUGACGGUCCCUGAUUAGAAAGCUCCGGCUAACUACGUGCCAGCAGCCGCGGUAAUACGGAGGGGGCAAGCGUUGUCCGGAAUUACUGGGCGUAAAGGGCGCGUAGGUGGGCGCUUAAGUCAGGUGUGAAAAUUCCGGGCUCAACCUGGAGACUGCACUGGAAACUGGGGGCCUUGAGGGCAGGGGAGGAAAGUGGAAUUCCUGGUGUAGCGGUGAAAUGCGUAGAUAUCAGGAGGAACACCAGUGGCGAAGGCGACUUUCUGGACGGUAACUGACGCUGAGGCGCGAAAGCGUGGGUAGCGAACGGGAUUAGAUACCCGUGUAGUC